rnacentral:snoRNA from 1 species
UCCAAAUGAAUAAACAUUCAUAUGUCUUAAUAUCUUACUUCAUAUACUUGCCUCAGAGCCCCCAAAUAUGAACCAAUUAAGGGUGGCUCUGGGAUAAGAGGAAAAUAAAUUACAGAAUGAACUGUCUGAGAGAC